GCCGCCAUCAACCGUCGUCACUAGUAGAGAAGACAGAGCUCGGUCGGCAACCCAAGCAGAUGGAGUUAUUUGAAAGGUGCUACGAGAGAAAGGAGGACUGCGGCUGAGGUGGUGGAGACAUUCCAAAACCGCCUCCGACAAACCCUCGAGCCUCGAAUCAGGACGAUAUGGACGUUGUUGACAAGGAGGGGUUAGAUUAAGUUUUAAAUUUUUUGUUUUAUUUU